rnacentral:rRNA from 1 species
GCGGCGUGCCUAAUACAUGCAAGUCGAACGAACUCUGGUAUUGAUUGGUGCUUGCAUCAUGAUUUACAUUUGAGUGAGUGGCGAACUGGUGAGUAACACGUGGGAAACCUGCCCAGAAGCGGGGGAUAACACCUGGAAACAGAUGCUAAUACCGCAUAACAACUUGGACCGCAUGGUCCGAGYUURAAAGAUGGCUUCGGCUAUCACUUUUGGAUGGUCCCGCGGCGUAUUAGCUAGAUGGUGRGGUAACGGCUCACCAUGGCAAUGAUACGUAGCCGACCUGAGAGGGUAAUCGGCCACAUUGGGACUGAGACACGGCCCAAACUCCUACGGGAGGCAGCAGUAGGGAAUCUUCCACAAUGGACGAAAGUCUGAUGGAGCAACGCCGCGUGAGUGAAGAAGGGUUUCGGCUCGUAAAACUCUGUUGUUAAAGAAGAACAUAUCUGAGAGUAACUGUUCAGGUAUUGACGGUAUUUAACCAGAAAGCCACGGCUAACUACGUGCCAGCAGCCGCGGUAAUACGUAGGUGGCAAGCGUUGUCCGGAUUUAUUGGGCGUAAAGCGAGCGCAGGCGGUUUUUUAAGUCUGAUGUGAAAGCCUUCGGCUCAACCGAAGAAGUGCAUCGGAAACUGGGAAACUUGAGUGCAGAAGAGGACAGUGGAACUCCAUGUGUAGCGGUGAAAUGCGUAGAUAUAUGGAAGAACACCAGUGGCGAAGGCGGCUGUCUGGUCUGUAACUGACGCUGAGGCUCGAAAGUAUGGGUAGCAAACAGGAUUAGAUACCCUGGUAGUCCAUACCGUAAACGAUGAAUGCUAAGUGUUGGAGGGUUUCCGCCCUUCAGUGCUGCAGCUAACGCAUUAAGCAUUCCGCCUGGGGAGUACGGCCGCAAGGCUGAAACUCAAAGGAAUUGACGGGGGCCCGCACAAGCGGUGGAGCAUGUGGUUUAAUUCGAAGCUACGCGAAGAACCUUACCAGGUCUUGACAUACUAUGCAAAUCUAAGAGAUUAGACGUUCCCUUCGGGGACAUGGAUACAGGUGGUGCAUGGUUGUCGUCAGCUCGUGUCGUGAGAUGUUGGGUUAAGUCCCGCAACGAGCGCAACCCUUAUUAUC